rnacentral:rRNA from 1 species
AGAGCGAACGCUGGCGGCAGGCCUAACACAUGCAAGUCGAACGGAUCCUUCGGGAUUAGUGGCGGACGGGUGAGUAACACGUGGGAACGUGCCUUUUGGUUCGGAACAACUCAGGGAAACUUGAGCUAAUACCGGAUGUGCCCUUCGGGGGAAAGAUUUAUCGCCAUUAGAGCGGCCCGCGUCUGAUUAGCUAGUUGGUGGGGUAAAGGCCUACCAAGGCAACGAUCAGUAGCUGGUCUGAGAGGAUGAUCAGCCACAUUGGGACUGAGACACGGCCCAAACUCCUACGGGAGGCAGCAGUGGGGAAUCUUGCGCAAUGGGCGAAAGCCUGACGCAGCCAUGCCGCGUGAAUGAUGAAGGUCUUAGGAUUGUAAAAUUCUUUCACCGGGGACGAUAAUGACGGUACCCGGAGAAGAAGCCCCGGCUAACUUCGUGCCAGCAGCCGC